rnacentral:rRNA from 1 species
UACGUAGGGCGCAAGCGUUAUCCGGAAUUAUUGGGCGUAAAGAGCUCGUAGGCGGUUCCGUAAGUCGAGUGUGAAAAAUCUGGGCUCAACCCAGUGGAGCACUCGAUACUGCGGUGACUGGAGUACGGUAGAGGAGUGUGGAAUUCCUGGUGUAGCGGUGAAAUGCGCAGAUAUCAGGAGGAACACCAACGGCGAAGGCAGCACUCUGGGCCGGUACUGACGCUGAGGAGCGAAAGCGUGGGGAGCAAACAGG